UAUUCUGCCCCACGGGGAAGGAUGAGAAGCUUCGGCUAAGGUUCGACUCGAGCGUAGCGAGAGAACGUUGCCGCAGGCAACGGCCCGAAGGGCGAGGCGCUUUAGCGCCGAGUUAUCCUUCCCCCACCGCUG
rnacentral:sRNA from 1 species